CCUGUGCAUUUCUCAUAUCUUUUGCAACUAUCUUUUGUUGUGAUACAGAAGUGUUUAGUGUUAUGAAAAUAUUACAUUUUGAUAUUUAUAUGUAGGAACAUGCCAUUUUGUGCCAUGCCUUCUCCUGAUACAUGGAAAAUAGUAAUAAUCCAAUCAUUCAGAUGCACAUCAUUUUACCAACACAACUUGCACAGAUACCAUUUCCAUUCCACAACAGGUUUUUCCAUCAUUCAACACAGAGCCGUCACGUGGGUUGUAAGCGCCCGGGACGAGAAUUCCCAGGCGCCCCCAGUGUGUUAUGAAAAACAAUCAGAGUUUAUUCUGUACUAGAUUUAAAUAUGGAAUGUAAAAUAAAAGAAGUUGGUAUUAGGUCAAUGUUUUGAAAAAAUUAAGCCUUAAAUUGCAUUGUAAUGCCUUUUAAAAUUUGAAUUUUAUUAAGAUUUCU
rnacentral:lncRNA from 1 species